AUGUACCGUGAGUUCACAACGGCGAUCGAGGAGAGGGUGCGGGCAUCACAGGGGCCGGGGGCGACCGAGGUGUCGGUGUUGGUGAGGCACGUGGCGGUGCGGGUCAUGCGGCCGAGGCCACCGCGGGAGAUCGUGUAUGGGAGCAUGACGGCGUUGUUCGCCGUGCUUGCCAUGUCACCGGCCUGGGCACGUGACGCCUUCUUCGCCAGGCGGUCCACCCACCCGCGGGUCCCGGCCGCAUGGGGCUCUUCUCCUGCCUGUACAGCUGUGAGCGCGACAGUCCCCCCAAACUUCAACUUCAAGCGCGGCGAGCGCGACGGCCCCCCUAACUUCAACUUCAAGGCCGACCUCCUCGACCUCAUCCCGGACUUGUACGGGGAGGCGUUCGACCGGCUGCCCGUCCAAGACAUGCCGGACGCCGUCGCCGACAAGCUAUACGAAACCAUGCGUGACGGCGGCCUCUCCCUCGGCCUUUUGGACCCAGUCUCAAACGUCAUCCUCAGCACCAUGGCCCUCCUCCCGCGCGACCACUUUCGGGCAAAGGAGGAACCGCCCGCCAAGAGGACCAGAAGGUCCAAUAACCUGGCCGGCACGGCACAGCAAAGGGAUACCUGGUCGUCCGGUAGUACCAUUGGGUCGUCCUGCCGCAGGGUUACCUGGCACAGAAUUGCUCAGGCGUCCUGCCAGGCUCUCGUCAGGUUCAUGAUGAGCUACUUCGGAUGCAUCACCCAAGAACAGGCCACCCGCUACCUUCACUGGGUAGGCGCCGACCUCGCUCGCGCCGUCCUGCUCGUCGAGCACGAUCUGUACACUGCGGAGCUCAUGCUCCCCGACCCUGCCUCCGAGAGGACUCAGGUCGCGCUCAGGUGUGCCGUGAUCCACGUGUGGCACUCCGCGCCUGACGUCCUCGUGCGGCUCCAAGCGUCACCCUUGCCCCCGUCAACGGCUCCUCACCACCGCCCCCUUUCUAAAGCCAGGAGGGCCGAAGCUCACCGUUGA
rnacentral:rRNA from 1 species